GACGAACGCUGGCGGCGUGCUUAACACAUGCAAGUCGAACGGAGAUGUUAGCAAUAACAUCUUAGUGGCGGACGGGUGAGUAACGCGUGGGCAACUUGCCUCUAACUGGGGGAUAACACAGGGAAACUUGUGCUAAUACCGCAUAAUAUCACUGGGUGGCAUCAUUCGGUGAUCAAAGGAGUAAUCCGGUGAGAGAUGGGCCCGCGUCCGAUUAGCUAGUUGGUGGUGUAACGGACCACCAAGGCGACGAUCGGUAGCCGAACUGAGAGGUUGAUCGGCCACAUUGGGACUGAGACACGGCCCAGACUCCUACGGGAGGCAGCAGUGGGGAAUAUUGCACAAUGGGGGAAACCCUGAUGCAGCAACGCCGCGUGAAGGAUGAAGGUUUUCGGAUUGUAAACUUCUUUAGUCAGGGACGAAAAAAAUGACGGUACCUGAAGAAUAAGCCACGGCUAACUACGUGCCAGCCGCCGCCGUAA
rnacentral:rRNA from 1 species